GACGAACGAUGGCGGCGUGCCUAAUACAUGCAAGUCGAACGCAGUGGGGACGGGUGAGUAACACGUGGGUAACCUCCCAUCAGAGGGGAUAACACUUGGAAACAGGUGCUAAACCGAUACUGAUGGAUGGACCCGCGGUGCAGUAGCUGGUUGGUGAGGUAACGGCUCACCAAGGCCACGACGCAUAGCCGACCUGAGAGUGUGUUCGGCCCCACUGGGACUGAGACACGGCCCAUACUCCUACGGGAGGCAGCAGUAGGGAAUCUUCGGCAAGGGACGAAAGUCUGACCGAGCAACGCCGCGUGAGUGAAGAAGGUUUUCGGAUCGUAAAACUCUGUUGUUAGAGAAGCGGUAUCUAGCCAGAAAGCCACGGCUAACUACGUGCCAGCCGCCGCGGUAAUAC
rnacentral:rRNA from 1 species